rnacentral:tRNA from 1 species
GGGGAUGUAGCUCAGUGGUAGAGUAUAUUUAAUUCUCAGUACUGCCAAAAAGAAAAAGAAAACAAAAGGAACUCUUUAAAAUGAUGUUACAAGGUAAUAUAAGAAACAUGAAGGAAGUGUAAGGAAGAAAUUAAUAAAAAUUAAAGCAAGGACUGGGUAUAUAGUUCAUUGGUAGAAUGAUUGCAUCUUGUAUACAAGGCCCUGAGUUCAAUCCCCAGCACCACAA